UCUUUUUUUCUUUUUUUUUUCAAUUAGUGAGUAGUGAUAUUUUUCGCGAUCCUAAUGUUCAUCUCUUUAUGCAAGUGUUUUCGAAUUGCGACGUAAAAGUGUGGCUUUACGAGAGUGCGUUACGGCGAUCUGGAAAAAUAUUGUCUCUUUUGUCGCUAAUAUACGAGCGCCGAACACUUAAUAACAGACGCGAUUGCACUUCCUCUUCAAUUGAUUAGUUCCAGCGGCGUACGCACUGAUAAGGUAUGCGCGUAUGUGAAUAUAUCGACUUACUUUGCAAAUUGAUGUUUUGAUCUUCGGCCUGGUUUAUUUACAGACGCCAGAUGUACUUUUAACGAAAAUAUUUGUGAACCAUCGACGCGAUGAAAAGUAUAAAACUCAAUCUUACUUUUUCGGCAGCACCAGUUUUAUACUUGCGACAACCGUUGCAAUGCGUGCAAAAUUUUUCGCGCUUUUCAGUAUUAUCAUAAUUUUUCAAGGUAAUCAAUCAACUAUUUUUCACUUGCACUGCAAUUUUACUAUUAUCUCUUUAUCAAUCGAAUGAGCAUAGGAAGAGCAGCAGCUGAUAGGCUAGAAGAAUUAAUCGUCAAUGGAAAAGAAGCAAAGCUGGGCGAAUUUCCCUGUCAGGUAUAAUAUUUCAUAGGCGAGAUACUGUAUAAAUUGUUCCAAAAAUAAUAACAAUAGAUUCUAACAUUUCGAUAAUUUCAAGUACAAUUUUACGUCGAAAAUUCUGCACAUUAGUUCUGAUUUGUCACCUUGCGAUCGGUUCAAAUAGGUGGUUGGCGCUUUUGCGGCGGUUCCAUUCUCGACGAGUACCACGUGCUCACCGCAGCUCACUGUGUUCACCGGUAUACGACGACUCGAGCAGACAUUUAAGUAUAGUAGCUUUCUUCUCGCGGAAUUCAGUAAAAUAACUGACUUGUUUGUUUCAUCGCUACAGAAUAUCCGCGUGGAACUUCAACAUUGUCGCAGGUUGCGUGAACUUGGGUCAUCGUCAACUUCCACGUUCGGAUCGCAACGUCGGUUGGAAGCACGAUAUAGCUGUGCUGAAAAUUGACAAACCUUUUGAGUUCAAUGAAGACCUGUUCAAUAAAGCCAGCGAUACUUCCCGACGCUCACAAAAAGUUGGAAGAUCACCAAAGAGCCGUCGUUUCUGGUUUUGGGAGACUGUCUGUAAGUUUAGCAUUUAUUUAGUUUCUUAACUCCAUUCCACGACUUUUAGAGUACGAGCGACCUAUCGACGAUAUUAUACAGAGCUAGCGUUUUCAUCGAGAACCAAGACGAGUGUCAUAAAAGGCCUACGAGAUUGACGAGAUCCGAGCGACGAACGUCUGCACUCGGCAUCCGAGCGAAGUUACCGGUUUCUGUUCCGGAGAUUCGGAUGGUCCACUGACGGUGAACAGUAAAGUCGUUGGCGUAGUGUCUUUUGCUCUGGACAACGGAUGCGCUGGAGCCUCAAAGAUGCCGCAGCUUUACACGAGAGUGUCCAAGUACAUCGACUGAAUCAAUAGUCACACGAGAACCUUCUAGAUCGAUUAUUCGCUAAUUGUAUUCAUUUAAUAAUAGCUACCAUCAAUGGUAGUCUCGUCACUUACACCUUUGAAGGAUCCAAUAUUAUAAGAAUGACGAGAUGCCCAUAGCUCAUUAUAAUUGGUUGAUUCGUUCGCAUCAACAUCUUCUUCGCAUUGUCACUUAGCACUGACCAGUCUACAUUGUAAAUGUCAUUGCUGAAUUCAAAGCUCUAUACAAAAUGCUUGAUUUUUUAAAACUACUUUCAAAGAUCUCACCCAUCAUGCAAACCAGAUAGAUGAAAGCCAUGGUUUUUUAUAACAUCAAAUGUGUCCUUUACUACUUUUGUAAAUUUGAAACAGUUUAAACGACGAGCUACAUUAAGGCGGCCCGAAGUCAAUUCAAAUGCCGAUUUUACCCCACAAAAUAGCAGAUAACAAGAUAAACUAUAAACAUAACAAAAUUACAAUAAACCGCGACAUAGUUGCCCUCCAUAAUGUAAUCAUCUAUCAUUUUACAAUGUUACAAGUUUGCAUAGAAUGAAACUUUGUAAAAUGAUAUAGACAAUAAGAUACCAGAGGGUAGCUAUGUUCUGAUUUUUCAUAAUAUUCUUUUUACUAUUUGUUAUAAGCCUUGUUUUUUAUCUGCUGUAUAUUGCACUUUUUUAUCAUUUGUCAAUUUUUUUUUAUUCAAUCCAACCGUCACGUGAUUAUUUUAUAAAAUUAUUCAUGCGGGUAAAAAUAAUUUUAAUAUUGAAGCAAUACAUGUAAGGUUGAAGAAAGCAACAUGCCAAGGGGUUGACAGCUUUUUUUUUGAAAUGUGAUAUACGAUGCGCGUGUCAUACUCACUUGAUGAUUUAAUCGUGAUGCAAAACAGUCUGCCUCAGCAUCUUCAGCUCGAGCAGUAUUAAAGCUUUGCUGCUCGCAAUUCCCUGUUGCUUAUCCGAAGUACACACACCGUUAAAUGAAACUUUGAAUAUCCUGCCAAUAUAGGCCAUGAGACUAUUCCUAUAAGAAAUAUAUACCUAUACAUGGCAAGUGUCAUGGCCGACGGGCGGGAUAUUCAAAGUUCCAUUUAACGGUGUGUGUACAUAAAAAAAUGAAAAGUCUCAAUUUUUAUACAAUAUAUUAAAAUAAAACGAUGCUUGAUCUUCCA